CAACUAGUCCCUCCGUUCGGAAUUACUUGUCUCGGAAAUGGAUGUAUCUAGAACUAAAAUACAUCUAGAUACAUCCAUUUUUGCGACAAGUAAUUCCGAACGGAGGGAGUAUUAA
rfam:Triticum urartu cultivar G1812 contig115583, whole genome shotgun sequence.